rnacentral:rRNA from 1 species
UACGUAGGGUGCGAGCGUUGUCCGGAAUUAUUGGGCGUAAAGAGCUUGUAGGUGGUUUGUCGCGUCUGCUGUGAAAUCCGAGGCUCAACCUCGGACUUGCAGUGGGUACGGCAGACUAGAGUGUGGUAGGGGAGACUGGAAUUCCUGGUGUAGCGGUGAAAGUGCGCAGGAUAUCAGGAGGAACACCGGUGGCGAAGGCGGUCUCUGGGCACUUACCUGACGCUGAGGAGCGAAAGUGUGGGGAGCGAACAGGAUUAG